UACGAAGGGGGCUAGCGUUGCUCGGAAUUACUGGGCGUAAAGGGCGCGUAGGCGGACAGUUUAGUCAGAGGUGAAAGCCCAGGGCUCAACCUUGGAAUUGCCUUUGAUACUGGCUGUCUUGAGUUCGGGAGAGGUGAGUGGAAUGCCGAGUGUAGAGGUGAAAUUCGUAGAUAUUCGGCGGAACACCAGUGGCGAAGGCGAUUCACUGGCCCGAUACUGACGCUGAGGCGCGAAAGCGUGGGGAGCAAACAGG
rnacentral:rRNA from 1 species